rnacentral:rRNA from 1 species
AGGAAAAGAAACUAACAAGGAUUCCCCUAGUAACGGCGAGUGAAGCGGGAAGAGCUCAAAUUUGAAAUCUGGUAGCCUUCGGUUGCCCGAGUUGUAAUCUAGAGAAGUGUUUUCCGUGCCGGCCCAUGUACAAGUCCCUUGGAACAGGGCGUCAUAGAGGGUGAGAAUCCCGUCCUUGACAUGGACCCCCGGUGCUUUGUGAUACACUUUCAACGAGUCGAGUUGUUUGGGAAUGCAGCUCAAAAUGGGUGGUGAAUUCCAUCUAAAGCUAAAUAUUGGCGAGAGACCGAUAGCGAACAAGUACCGUGAGGGAAAGAUGAAAAGCACUUUGGAAAGAGAGUUAAACAGUACGUGAAAUUGUUGAAAGGGAAACGAUUGAAGUCAGUCAUGCUCUUGGGACUUACCUCCCUUGAGUGGGGUCAACAUCAGUUUUGAUCGAUGGAUAAAGGCACGGGGAAGGUAGCACUCUCGGGUGAACUUAUAGCCUCGCGUCAUAUACAUUGAUUGGGACUGAGGAACGCAGCAUGCC